AGAGUUUGAUCCUGGCUCAGGAUUAACGCUGGCGGCGUGCAUAACACAUGCAAGUCGAACGAUGAAACCUAACUGAUUUCUUCGGAAUGAAUUUAGCGGGAUUAGUGGCGGACGGGUGAGUAACGCGUGAGUAACCUGCCUUGGAGAAGGGGAUAGCCUUUGGAAACGAAGAAUAAUACCCUAUGAUAUGAUAACAUCGCAUGAUAUUAUCAUCAAAGAUUUAUCGCUCUAAGAUGGACUUGCGUCUGAUUAGUUAGUUGGUGAGGUAACAGCUCACCAAGGCAACGAUCAGUAGCCGGCUUGAGAGAGUGUACGGCCACAUUGGGACUGAGACACGGCCCAGACUCCUACGGGAGGCAGCAGUGGGGAAUUUUGCACAAUGGGGGAAACCCUGAUGCAGCGACGCCGCGUGAUUUAGAAGGCCUUCGGGUUGUAAAAAUCUUUUGUAUGGGAAGAAAAUGACAGUACCAUACGAAUAAGGACCGGCUAAUUACGUGCCAGCAGCCGCGGUAAUACGUAAGGUCCGAGCGUUGUCCGGAAUCAUUGGGCGUAAAGGGUACGUAGGCGGGUAAGCAAGUUAGAAGUGAAAUCCUAUAGCUCAACUAUAGUAAGCUUUUAAAACUGCUUAUCUUGAGAUAUGGAAGGGAAAGUGGAAUUCCUAGUGUAGCGGUGAAAUGCGCAGAUAUUAGGAGGAAUACCAGUGGCGAAGGCGACUUGCUGGACAUAUACUGACGCUGAGGAACGAAAGCAUGGGUAGCAAACAGGAUUAGAUACCCUGGUAGUCCAUGCUGUAAACGAUGAGUGCUAGGUGUCGGGGGUGACCUCGGUGCCGUAGUAACACAAUAAG
rnacentral:rRNA from 1 species